UGGGGAAUCUUGGACAAUGGGGGCAACCCUGAUCCAGCCAUGCCGCGUGAGUGAUGAAGGCCUUAGGGUCGUAAAGCUCUUUCGCCUGUGAAGAUAAUGACGGUAGCAGGUAAAGAAACCCCGGCUAACUCCGUGCCAGCAGCCGCGGUAAUACGGAGGGGGUUAGCGUUGUUCGGAAUUACUGGGCGUAAAGCGCACGUAGGCGGACCAGAAAGUUGGGGGUGAAAUCCCGGGGGCUCAACCCCGGAACUGCCUCCAAAACUAUUGGUCUAGAGUUCGAGAGAGGUGAGUGGAAUUCCAAGUGUAGAGGUGAAAUUCGUAGAUAUUUGGAGGAACACCAGUGGCGAAGGCGGCUCACUGGCUCGAUACUGACGCUGGAGGUGCGAAAGUGUGGGGAGCAAACAGGAUUAGAUACCCUGGGUAGUCCACACCGUAAACGAUGAAUGCCAGUCGUCGGGUAGCAUGCUAUUCGGUG
rnacentral:rRNA from 1 species